rnacentral:rRNA from 1 species
GUGCCAGCAGCCGCGGUAAUACGUAGGGGGCAAGCGUUAUCCGGAUUUACUGGGCGUAAAGCGCGUGUAGGCGGUUGCGCAAGUUGGUUGUGAAAUCUCCCGGCUCAACCGGGAAACUGCAGCCAAAACUGCGCGGCUAGAGUGGCAGAGAGGAAAGUGGAAUUCCCGGUGUAGUAGUGAAAUGCGUGGAUAUCGGGAGGAACACCAGCGGCGAAGGCGACUUUCUGGCUGCUAACUGACGCUGAGACGCGAAAGCUAGGGGAGCGAACGGGAUUAGAUACCCGUGUAGUCC